UACGUAGGGUGCAAGCGUUGUCCGGAAUUAUUGGGCGUAAAGGGCUCGUAGGCGGUCUGUUGCGUCAGGAGUGAAAACUCGGGGCUUAACCCCGAGCCUGCUUCUGAUACGGGCAGACUAGAGGUAUGCAGGGGAGAACGGAAUUCCUGGUGUAGCGGUGAAAUGCGCAGAUAUCAGGAGGAACACCGAUGGCGAAGGCAGGUCUCUGGGCCAUAACUGACGCUGAGAAGCGAAAGCAUGGGGAGCGAACAGG
rnacentral:rRNA from 1 species